GUGUUAAAUGAUGGCAAUCAUCGUCUUUCAGGACUGACCUGAAAUGAAAAAAAAAAAAACCUCACUGCUGAUCACUU